rnacentral:rRNA from 1 species
UACAGAGGGUGCAAGCGUUGUUCGGAAUUAUUGGGCGUAAAGGGCGCGUAGGCGGUGCGGUAAGUCUGUAGUGAAAUCUCUGGGCUCAACUCAGAGUCUGCUGCAGAAACUGCCGUGCUUGAGUGUGGGAGAGGUGAGUGGAAUUCCCGGUGUAGCGGUGAAAUGCGUAGAUAUUGGGAAGAACACCGGUGGCGAAGGCGGCUCUCUGGACCGAGACUGACGCUGAGGCGCGAAAGCGUGGGGAGCAAACAGG